rnacentral:lncRNA from 1 species
CCCACCAGCUCUGCCCACUGACGAUGCCUCCCUUCAUUCCCAUCCCCAGCUGGACGAGAGCCCAAUGCUUCAGAUCGAGCUGGAUGCCUGCAAGCAGCAACUAGAACUCGAACGAAGUUUGAGCCUGGCCCUGCAGCACCAGCUUCGGGGGCUGCAAGGCGGGAGUGCUCCCCAGAGGGCAGAGCCUCCACUGGCAUGGCCAGGUCCGGGACCGUGCCCCUCUGGGACCCUGAAGGGGACAGAAGCAGAGCCCCGAUGGGACAUGCUCCAGUCCAAAGCAGAGCCUCAUAGACCCCUCCAGGAGCUUCAAGGAUCUUCAUCAGGAAGCCCUCAGGUGCCAGAGCCGCUUCAGCCAUUUCAGAGAGACGCCCGAGGGGGCCAGGAAGCAGGAGCUCCUGGACCCUUGUCAGAGGCAGAAAUUCUAAGACAGCAGCUGCAGAAGGAGAGAACCCUGGGGCAGGAGCAGGCGCAGCGGCUUCGGAGCCUCACCUCAGAGCUGCAGGAGCUGAAACUGAGGAUGCCAGAAGAACAUGAG